rnacentral:rRNA from 1 species
GGAUGACAGGGAGCUUGCUGCUUGAUUCAGCGGCGGACGGGUGAGUAAUGCCUAGGAAUCUGCCUGGUAGUGGGGGACAACGUUUCGAAAGGAACGCUAAUACCGCAUACGUCCUACGGGAGAAAGCAGGGGACCUUCGGGCCUUGCGCUAUCAGAUGAGCCUAGGUCGGAUUAGCUAGUUGGUGGGGUAAUGGCUCACCAAGGCGACGAUCCGUAACUGGUCUGAGAGGAUGAUCAGUCACACUGGAACUGAGACACGGUCCAGACUCCUACGGGAGGCAGCAGUGGGGAAUAUUGGACAAUGGGCGAAAGCCUGAUCCAGCCAUGCCGCGUGUGUGAAGAAGGUCUUCGGAUUGUAAAGCACUUUAAGUUGGGAGGAAGGGCAGUAAGCUAAUACCUUGCUGUUUUGACGUUACCGACAGAAUAAGCACCGGCUAACUCUGUGCCAGCAGCCGCGGUAAUACAGAGGGUGCAAGCGUUAAUCGGAAUUACUGGGCGUAAAGCGCGCGUAGGUGGUUCGUUAAGUUGGAUGUGAAAGCCCCGGGCUCAACCUGGGAACUGCAUCCAAAACUGGCGAGCUAGAGUACGGUAGAGGGUGGUGGAAUUUCCUGUGUAGCGGUGAAAUGCGUAGAUAUAGGAAGGAACACCAGUGGCGAAGGCGACCACCUGGACUGAUACUGACACUGAGGUGCGAAAGCGUGGGGAGCAAACAGGAUUAGAUACCCUGGUAGUCCACGCCGUAAACGAUGUCAACUAGCCGUUGGAAUCCUUGAGAUUUUAGUGGCGCAGCUAACGCAUUAAGUUGACCGCCUGGGGGAGUACGGCCGCAAGGUUAAAACUCAAAUGAAUUGACGGGGGCCCGCACAAGCGGUGGAGCAUGGUGGUUUAAUUCGAAGCAACGCGAAGAACCUUACCAGGCCUUGACAUGCAGAGAACUUUCAGGAAAAUGGAUUGGUGCCUUCGGGAACUCUGACACAGGUGCUGCAUGGCUGUCGUCAGCUCGGGUCCUGGAAAUUGUUUGGGUUAAGUCCCGUAACGAGCGCAACCCUUGUCCUUAGUUACAGCACGGUUAUGGUGGGCACUCUAAGGAGACUGCCG